ACUGAACGCUGGCGGCAGGCCUAACACAUGCAAGUCGAGCGGCAGCGGGAAAGUAGCUUGCUACUUUUGCCGGCGAGCGGCGGACGGGUGAGUAAUGCCUGGGAAAUUGCCCAGUCGAGGGGGAUAACAGUUGGAAACGACUGCUAAUACCGCAUACGCCCUACGGGGGAAAGCAGGGGACCUUCGGGCCUUGCGCGAUUGGAUAUGCCCAGGUGGGAUUAGCUAGUUGGUGAGGUAAUGGCUCACCAAGGCGACGAUCCCUAGCUGGUCUGAGAGGAUGAUCAGCCACACUGGAACUGAGACACGGGCCCGACUCCUACGGGAGGCAGCAGUGGGGAAUAUUGCACAAUGGGGGAAACCCUGGUGCAGCCAUGCCGCGUGUGUGAAGAAGGCCUUCGGGUUGUAAAGCACUUUCAGCGAGGAGGAAAGGUUGAUGCCUAAUACGUAUCAACUGUGACGUUACUCGCAGAAGAAGCACCGGCUAACUCCGUGCCAGCCGCCGCCGUAA
rnacentral:rRNA from 1 species